rnacentral:rRNA from 1 species
UACGGGGGGGUGCGAGCGUUUGUCCGGAAUCACUGGGCGUAAAGGGCGCGUAGGUGGUUUGAUAAGGGUGUGGUGAAAGUCCGGGGCUCAACCCCGGAUCUGCCGUGCCGACUGUCAAACUCGAGGACUGUAGAGGCAGACGGAAUUCCGGGUGUAGCGGUGGAAUGCGUAGAGAUCCGGAGGAACACCUGUGGCGAAAGCGGCUCACUGGACCACAACUGACGCUGAGGCGCGAAAGCUAGGGGAGCAAACAGG